GAUGAAGAACGUAGUGAAAUGCGAUACUUGGUGUGAAUUGCAGAAUCCCGCGAAUCAUCGAGUUUUUGAACGCAAGUUGCGCCCGAAGCCAUUCGGCCGAGGGCACGUCUGCCUGGGUGUCACGCGUCGUUGCCCCCCCAAACUCCGGUUCGGGCGGGGCGGAAGUUGGCCUCCCGUGCGUGCCUGCGCGCGCGGUUAGCCCAAAAGCGAGUCCUCGGCGACGAGCGCCACGACAAUCGGUGGUUGUUUUACCCUCGUUCCUCGUCGUGCGUGGCCCGUCGCCCGAACGCGCUCUUGCGACCCUCACGCGUCGCCUCGGCGGCGCUCCCAACGCGACCCCAGGUCAGGCGGGACUACCCGCUGAGUUUAAGCAUAUCAAUAAGCGGAGGA
rnacentral:misc_RNA from 1 species